rnacentral:rRNA from 1 species
AAUCAACGCUGGCGGCGUGCCUAACACAUGCAAGUCGCACGAGAAAGGGUAGCAAUACCUGCGUAAAGUGGCGCACGGGUGAGUAGCACGUGACUAAUCUACCCUCGAGUGGGGAAUAACUGAGAGAAAUCUUAGCUAAUACCGCAUAACACUUACGAGUCAAAGCAGCAAUGCGCUUGGGGAGGAGGUCGCGGCCGAUUAGCUAGUUGGCGGGGUAAUGGCCCACCAAGGCGAUGAUCGGUAUCCGGCCUGAGAGGGCGCACGGACACACUGGAACUGAAACACGGUCCAGACUCCUACGGGAGGCAGCAGUGGGGAAUUUGCGCAAUGGGGGAAACCCUGACGCAGCAACGCCGCGUGGAGGAUGAAGUAUCUUGGUACGUAAACUCCUUUCGAUUGGGAAGAUAAUGACGGUACCAAUAGAAGAAGCCCCGGCUAACUUCGUGCCAGCCGCCGCAGU